GGCGACAUAGCCAAGUGGUAAGGCAUGGGUCUGCAACACCCUGAUCAUCAGUUCAAAUCUGAUUGUCGCCU
rfam:Clostridium phytofermentans ISDg, complete genome.